rnacentral:rRNA from 1 species
AAAUUGAAGAGUUUGAUCAUGGCUCAGAUUGAACGCUGGCGGCAGGCCUAACACAUGCAAGUCGAGCGGCAGCGGGAAAGUAGCUUKCUACUUUUGCCGGCGAGCGGCGGACGGGUGAGUAAUGCCUGGGGAUCUGCCCAGUCGAGGGGGAUAACAGUUGGAAACGACUGCUAAUACCGCAUACGCCCUACGGGGGAAAGGAGGGGACCUUCGGGCCUUUCGCGAUUGGAUGAACCCAGGU